CAACAGGGAUUGCCUCAGUAACGGCGAGUGAAGCGGCAACAGCUCAAAUUUGAAAGCUGGCUCCUUCGGGGCCCGCGUUGUAAUUUGUAGAGGAUGCUUCGGGCGCGGCACCGGUCUAAGUUCUCUGGAACGAGACGUCAUGGAGGGUGAGAAUCCCGUAUGAGACUGGCUGCCUGUGCCCAUGUGAAGCUCCUUCGACGAGUCGAGUUGUUUGGGAAUGCAGCUCAAAAUGGGAGGUGUACUCCUUCUAAAGCUAAAUAUUGGCCAGAGACCGAUAGCGCACAAGUAGAGUGAUCGAAAGAUGAAAAGCACUUUGGAAAGAGAGUUAAACAGUACGUGAAAUUGUUGAAAGGGAAGCGCUUGCAAUCAGACUUGCGCGGCGUCGAUCAGCCUGGGUUCUCCCUGGUGCACUCGGCGCCGCUCAGGCCAGCAUCAGUUUCGGCGGUGGGAUAAAGGCCUAGGGAACGUGGGUCCCUUCGGGGACCGUUAUAGCCCUAGGUGCAAUGCCGCCUGCCGGGACUGAGGACCGCGCUUCGGCUAGGAUGCUGGCGUAAUGGUUGUAAGCGACCCGUCUUGAAACACG
rnacentral:rRNA from 1 species